rnacentral:piRNA from 1 species
GGAUAAGAAAUCUGCAGGGACUUAAGUGC